UACGAAGGGGGCUAGCGUUGUUCGGAUUUACUGGGCGUAAAGCGCACGUAGGCGGAUUGUUAAGUCAGGGGUGAAAUCCCGGAGCUCAACUCCGGAACUGCCUUUGAUACUGGCAAUCUAGAGUCCGGAAGAGGUGAGUGGAACUCCUAGUGUAGAGGUGGAAUUCGUAGAUAUUAGGAAGAACACCAGUGGCGAAGGCGGCUCACUGGUCCGGUACUGACGCUGAGGUGCGAAAGCGUGGAGAGCAAACAGG
rnacentral:rRNA from 1 species